CAUGCAAGUCGAACGGAAACCUUCGGGUUUUAGUGGCGAACGGGUGAGUAACACGUAAGCAACCUACCCUAAAGACGAGGAUAACCAUUGGAAACAGUGGCUAAGACUGGAUAGGAAGAUAAAAGGCAUCUUGUAUCUUUUAAAAGACCUAGUUAAUAGGUAUGCUUUAGGAGGGGCUUGCGCCAUAUUAGUUAGUUGGUAGGGUAAUGGCCUACCAAGACGAUGAUGUGUAGCUGGACUGAGAGGUUGAACAGCCACAUUGGGACUGAGACACGGCCCAAACUCCUACGGGAGGCAGCAGUAGGGAAUUUUCGGCAAUGGAGGAAACUCUGACCGAGCAACGCCGCGUGAAUGACGAAGUACUUCGGUAUGUAAAGUUCUUUUAUCGAGGAAGAAAAGCAAAUGGCGAACCAUUUGUUUGCCGGUACUUGAUGAAUAAGCCCCGGCUAAUUAUGUGCCAGCAGCCGCGGUAAGACAUAAGGGGCAAGUGUUAUCCGGAAUUAUUGGGCGUAAAGGGUGCGUAGGCGGUCUAGUAAGUCAGUGGUGUAAUGGCAACGCUUAACGUUGUCCGGCUAUUGAAACUGCUAAACUUGAGUUAGAUAGAGGCGAGUGGAAUUCCAUGUGUAGCGGUAAAAUGCGUAAAUAUAUGGAGGAACACCAGAGGCGUAGGCGGCUCGCUGGGUCUUAACUGACGCUGAGGCACGAAAGCGUGGGGAGCAAACAGGAUUAGAUACCCUGGUAGUCCACGCCGUAAACGAUGAGUACUAAGUGUCGGGUUAAACCGGUACUGAAGUUAACACAUUAAGUACUCCGCCUGAGUAGUACGUACGCAAGUAUGAAACUUAAAGGAAUUGACGGGACUCCGCACAAGCGGUGGAUCAUGUUGUUUAAUUCGAAGAUACCCGAAAAACCUUACCAGGUCUUGACAUGUUUUUGCAAAAUGAUAGUAAUAUCGUGGAGGUUACCAGAAACACAGGUGGUGCAUGGUUGUCGUCAGCUCGUGUCGUGAGAUGUUAGGUUAAGUCCUAAAACGAGCGAAACCCUUAUCGUUAGUUGCCAGCACGUUAUGGUGGGGACUUUAACGAGACUGCCAAUGAUAAAUUGGAGGAAGGUGAGGAUCACGUCAAAUCAGCAUGCCCCUUAUGACCUGGGCUACAAACGUGAUACAAUGGCUGUUACAAAGGGUAGCUGAAACGCAAGUUCUUGGCCAAUCCCCAAAAACAGUCCCAGUCCGGAUUGAAGUCUGCAACUCGACUUCAUGAAGUUGGAAUCGCUAGUAAUCGCGAAUCAGCAUGUCGCGGUGAAUACGUUCUCGGGGUUUGUACACACCGCCCGUCAAACCACGAAAGUUGGCAAUACCCCAAAACGGUAGCCUAACUCGUUUAUUCGAGAGGGCGCCGUCUAAGGUAGGGUCGAUGAUUGGGGUUAAGUCGUAACAAGGUAUCCCUACCGGAAGGUGGGGAUGGAU
rnacentral:rRNA from 1 species